rnacentral:rRNA from 1 species
CCACUCCCGGCACGGGGAGGUAGUGACGAAAAAUAACGAUACGGGACUCAUCCGAGGCCCCGUAAUCGGAAUGAGAACAAUUUAAAUCCUUUAACGAGGAUCAAUUGGAGGGCAAGUCUGGUGCCAGCAGCCGCGGUAAUUCCAGCUCCAAUAGCGUAUAUUAAAGUUGUUGCGGUUAAAAAGCUCGUAGUCGAAUCUGUGUCCCGCGCCGCCGGUUCGUCGCUCGCGGCGUUUAACUGGCGUGUCCGCGGGACGUCCUGCCGGUGGGCUUAGCUCCUCCUUUGGGGCGGCCCAAUCAUAAUCCCGCCGCGGUGCUCUUCACCGAGUGUCGAGGCGGGCCGGCACGUUUACUUUGAACAAAUUAGAGUGCUUAAAGCAGGCUAAAACUUUGCCUGAAUACUUCGUGCAUGGAAUAAUGGAAUAGGACCUCGGUUCUAUUUUGUUGGUUUUCGGAACCCCGAGGUAAUGAUUAAUAGGAACGGAUGGGGGCAUUCGUAUUGCGACGUUAGAGGUGAAAUUCUUGGAUCGUCGCAAGACGGACAGAAGCGAAAGCAUUUGCCAAAAACGUUUUCAUUGAUCAAGAACGAAAGUUAGAGGUUCGAAGGCGAUCAGAUACCGCCCUAGUUCUAACCAUAAACGAUGCCAGCUAGCGAUCCGCCGAAGUUCCUCCGAUGACUCGGCGGGCAGCUUCCGGGAAACCAAAGCUUUUGGGUUCCGGGGGAAGUAUGGUUGCAAAGCUGAAACUUAAAGGAAUUGACGGAAGGGCACCACCAGGAGUGGAGCCUGCGGCUUAAUUUGACUCAACACGGGAAACCUCACCAGGCCCGGACACCGGAAGGAUUGACAGAUUGAGAGCUCUUUCUUGAUUCGGUGGGUGGUGGUGCAUGGCCGUUCUUAGUUGGUGGAGCGAUUUGUCUGGUUAAUUCCGAUAACGAACGAGACUCUGGCCUGCUAACUAGGCGUAUUUCCGACAUCUCGAAGGCCCGCCGGCCUGGUGCGCUCGCGCGCCGAGUCGUGCGCGGUUUUUACUGUCGGCGUACAAACAAUUCUUCUUAGAGGGACAGGCGGCUUCUAGCCGCACGAGAUAGAGCAAUAACAGGUCUGUGAUGCCCUUAGAUGUUCUGGGCCGCACGCGCGCUACACUGAAGGAAUCAGCGUGUCCUCCCUGGCCGAGCGGCCCGGGUAACCCGCUGAACCUCCUUCGUGCUAGGGAUUGGGGCUUGCAAUUGUUCCCCAUGAACGAGGAAUUCCCAGUAAGCGCGAGUCAUAAGCUCGCGUUGAUUACGUCCCUGCCCUUUGUACACACCGCCCGUCGCUACUACCGAUUGAAUGAUUUAGUGAGGUCUUCGGACCGGCACGCGGUGGCGUUUCGACGUCGCCGAUGCUGCUGGAAAGAUGACCAAACU